rnacentral:rRNA from 1 species
UACGUAGGGGCCUAGCGUUGUCCGGAAUCAUUGGGCGUAAAGAGCGUGUAGGCGGCCCGGUAAGUCCGCUGUAAAAGUCAAAGGCUCAACCUUUGAAUGUCAGUGGAUACUGCCGGGCUAGAGUCCGGAAGAGGCGAGUGGAACUCCUGGUGUAGCGGUGGAAUGCGCAGAUAUCAGGAAGAACACCAACGGCGAAGGCAGCUCGCUAGGACGGUACUGACGCUGAGACGCGAAAGCGUGGGGAGCGAACAGG